UUUGCAGGUAGAGCAAGAGCUUUGAAAUCUAGUAAGAGCAAGAGCAAGAGCAAGAGCCACUCUUCUAUCUAUCAAUCUUGCAUUGCCUUCUCGUGCGUUGCUACCUCCAAACUUCCAAAUCCAGAACAAAAACAUUGCUGCUCUUAUUAUUCUUUCCAGAAAAAAUAUGAUAAACAAUAUGAACACUCAGAGGAGUUCCAGAAAGAGCUCAAAAUCAAGGUUCGUGAACUAUUAACUGAACAAGAAUGGAGGAGAA